rnacentral:lncRNA from 1 species
CUUUCUCACGCCCAAAGAUUGGGUGUCCAUCUUUCAUACGCCAAGAAGAAGAAGGGUCUCUUCUAUAGCAAGGAACAAGGAGAAGAAGGCUGCAGUUCAAGGGUUGAAGUUGCAGUCAAGAUUAUUUAUUGAUCAAGGUUCCAAGAGGUAAAGAUCUUACUUAGAGAAGAAGAAUCUACCAUAAGAAGAAAGAUUCAAGGUUGAUCCCGGUGGAUACCUAUAG